GACGAACGCUGGCGGCGUGCUUAACACAUGCAAGUCGAACGGAAAGGCCCUGCUUUUGUGGGGUGCUCGAGUGGCGAACGGGUGAGUAACACGUGAGUAACCUGCCCUUGACUGUGGGAUAACUUCAGGAAACUGGGGCUAAUACCGGAUAGGAGCUCCUGCUGCAUGGUGGGGGUUGGAAAGUUUCGGCGGUUGGGGAUGGACUCGCGGCUUACCAGCUUGUUGGUGGGGUAGUGGCUUACCAAGGCUUUGACGGGUAGCCGGCCUGAGAGGGUGACCGGCCACAUUGGGACUGAGAUACGGCCCAGACUCCUACGGGAGGCAGCAGUGGGGAAUAUUGCACAAUGGGCGGAAGCCUGAUGCAGCAACGCCGCGUGCGGGAUGACGGCCUUCGGGUUGUAAACCGCUUUCGCCUGUGACGAAGCGUGAGUGACGGUAAUGGGUAAAGAAGCACCGGCUAACUACGUG
rnacentral:rRNA from 1 species